UCUUCUCCUCGCAGGCGUCCGAGUUCCCCUCGGAGCUCAUGUCAAACGACAGCAAAGCACUUUGUGGCUGAAUCAAACGGUGUCCCACUGAUGAGAUUUUUUUUUUUUUUUUGCACAAGAAAAUGUCUACAGGAUCUUUUUUGAGGUGCUGAAUUUAUUUUUCAGCUGUAUCUGGAGGGAAAAAUCCACGUUCAAGUAAAAGGACCUUUUAAAAUGUACUAAGAAAAAAAGUCAAGAUUGAUCUUUAUCCCCACCCCAUUUUUCAACUUGGACUGAACCUAGUUAUUUAUGAAGAGACUCUUAAAUACCCUUUCCCUAGUUGGAAGGCUUCCUUUAUAUACUAUUCCCAACGUGGGGAGAGAAACAAAAAUCUCACAAGGAGUUGCCCAUUUUAAAGCAGACUUUGCCUUUUUUUCCAAAGGUGGAGCGUGAGUACCAGAAGGAUCCAGUGUUCAGUUUUUUAGGAAAGUCUGUGGUCAGAAAUUACCUUUUUGACACAAACCUAGGACUGAAUACUGUAAAAAAUUAUAUAUAAAUAUAUAUAUAUAUAUGAGUGAAACCUUGUGAACUCUUUAAUUAGAGUUUUCUUGUAUAGUGGCAGAAAUAUACAUUUCUGCAAAAAGUGUAAUGAUGUACUUAAUCAUGCUAAACUUUUUAUAAAAGUUUAGUUGUAAACUUUAACCCUUUUUAUACAAAAUAAAUCAAGUGUGUUUAUUGAACUGAUUGCUUGCUUUAUUCUUUGGGGACCAACUGUUUGCUGGCUUUGAUUUGUGUUGUAGUUUUGUUGUUUGCUUUUUUAAUUAAUUAUGUUAUGACUUUAUCAAAGUAAAAAUUCAAGUAUGUAGAGACUAUAAAGAAUAAAAUUACCUGAAGUGAAU